rnacentral:rRNA from 1 species
UACGUAGGGUGCAAGCGUUAAUCGGAAUUACUGGGCGUAAAGCGUGCGCAGGCGGUUCGCUAGGACCGAUGUGAAAUCCCCGGGCUUAACCUGGGAACUGCAUUGGUGACUGGCGGGCUAGAGUAUGGCAGAGGGGGGUAGAAUUCCACGUGUAGCAGUGAAAUGCGUAGAGAUGUGGAGGAAUACCGAUGGCGAAGGCAGCCCCCUGGGCCAAUACUGACGCUCAUGCACGAAAGCGUGGGGAGCAAACAGG